CCUACGGGGAGGCAGCAGUGAGGAAUAUUGGUCAAUGGGCGGGAGCCUGAACCAGCCAAGCCGCGUGAAGGAAGAAGGCGCCAAGCGUCGUAAACUUCUUUUGUCGGGGAACAAAGGGCGCCACGUGUGGCGUUGUGAGUGUACCCGAAGAAAAAGCAUCGGCUAACUCCGUGCCAGCAGCCGCGGUAAUACGGAGGAUGCGAGCGUUAUCCGGAUUUAUUGGGUGUAAAGGGAGCGUAGACGGUUAAUCAAGUCAGAAGUGAAAACCCAGGGCUCAACCUUGGGACUGCUUUUGAAACUGAGUAGCUAGAGUGCAGGAGAGGUAAGCGGAAUUCCUAGUGUAGCGGUGAAAUGCGUAGAUAUUAGGAGGAACACCAGUGGCGAAGGCGGCUUACUGGACUGUAACUGACGUUGAGGCUCGAAAGCGUGGGGAGCAAACAGGAUUAGAUACCCUUGUAGUC
rnacentral:rRNA from 1 species